GUGGGGAAUAUUGGACAAUGGGAGCAAGCCUGAUCCAGCCAUACCGCGUGGGUGAAGAAGGCCUUCGGGUUGUAAAGCCCUUUUGUUGGGAAAGAAAUCCUGUCGGUUAAUACCUGGCGGGGAUGACGGUACCCAAAGAAUAAGCACCGGCUAACUUCGUGCCAGCAGCCGCGGUAAUACGAAGGGUGCAAGCGUUACUCGGAAUUACUGGGCGUAAAGCGUGCGUAGGUGGUGGUUUAAGUCCGUUGUGAAAGCCCUGGGCUCAACCUGGGAAUUGCAGUGGAUACUGCAUCACUAGAGUGUGGUAGAGGGAUACGGAAUUUCUGGUGUAGCAGUGAAAUGCGUAGAGAUCAGAAGGAACAUCCGUGGCGAAGGCGGCAUCCUGGGCCAACACUGACACUGAGGCACGAAAGCGUGGUGAGCAAACAGGAUUAGAAACCCUAGUAGUCC
rnacentral:rRNA from 1 species